ACUCUUCUCUCUCUUUUUUUCUUUUUUUUUUUUUUGGCAUUGUUACAAACCCUAAUUUCAAAGUCACGCACUUUUUUCCUUUUCGUUUUAUUUUUCCUGUGUUUGUAGGUUACUGAGUUUUUCACAUCAUGGAUAACAUAGGGAAAAAACCCAGAUCAAGCUGCUUUAUGUAAGAGAUUACACAACACAAGAAGGUGUAAAUGGAAAAGCAAAGAAGCACCUGUGACCUGUGCGGAGCAGUCCCCCGCAGCAGCCGAGGGUGGUAGAGCCCACCCUGCCUACAGCCAGCGAGUCUAUCUGCCCUGUGGUUGAGUUAAUCUCAAAACUGGAUAAUCUGCUCUGGGUUAAUCAAGAAAAGACUAUAGCAAACCAAGACAUACAAAUACCAUUUUAUUUCACUCAAAACCUGAUUAGAGAAAUGCAAGGAUUAAGUAGGUGAAUCAAAGACUUCCACAAACAGCAUACAAAUAUUUAAGCUUUCCUUUUAGUAAUCUAACAUGUGAACAAAAGUAACAUUUUCUUCACCAGAAAGCCAACAACCAGUUCCUGAACACCACCUGAAACUGUUCUUUAAUGACUAUCAUCUUUUACCAAAUAUUUAUAAACAGCAUUACAUUGAAAACUUUUUGUAAAAAUAAAAUGUUUUUGUUACACCUUAGAGUUUUGUUUUGGUUGGUUGGGUUGGGUUGGUUGGUUUGUUUUUUUCUUUACCCUAAAACCACUGAAAAACUGUAAGCAACGAUUGACAUUUUAUUUUGAUACAGUAACUUCAUAAAUGCAGUCCACUUCAGGAAAAAAAAUGAACACAACUUCACAAACACCAUAUUAAGACCUUGAUACAUUAUUUCUCCCCCUCUCUUUGUUUGUGCUGGUUAAAUGCACACCCUUAAUUACAGAAAUACACGCUGCCCCUAGGCAACCUGAAAAAUGAUUGAUAAUCACAUUUACAAUUUGUUCAAGGCUUCUCCUUUAUAAUUAACCUUCUUACAGCAAGUAGAAUACAUAUUAGACACACAGUACCAUGAUCUUCGACUGCUUUUUGAUUUCUAUGAGGCCAGACCUUAAAUUAUCUCACUGACAUAAGAUUAUGUAAACCAUUUGCAUUUUGCAAAACAUUUUUUCCUCUGAAGUAUUAAAAAAAAAAAAACAAAA
rnacentral:lncRNA from 1 species